ACGGGAGGCAGCAGUGAGGAAUAUUGGUCAAUGGACGCAGGUCUGAACCAGCCAAGUCGCGUGAGGGAUGGCGGUCCUAUGGAUUGUAAACCUCUUUUGUCGGGGAGUAACGUGCGGGACGUGUCCCGUAUUGAGAGUACCCGAAGAAAAAGCAUCGGCUAACUCCGUGCCAGCAGCCGCGGUAAUACGGAGGAUGCGAGCGUUAUCCGGAUUUAUUGGGUUUAAAGGGAGCGCAGGCGGCGCGUCAAGUCAGCGGUAAAAUGUCGGGGCUCAACCCCGGCCGGCCGUUGAAACUGCCGUGCUCGAGUUCGUGCGAGGAGAGCGGAAUGCGUGGUGUAGCGGUGAAAUGCAUAGAUAUCACGAAGAACUCCGAUUGCGAAGGCAGCCAUCUGGCGUGUUACUGACGCUCAUGCUCGAAGGUGCGGGUAUCAAACAGGAUUAGAUACCCUGGUA
rnacentral:rRNA from 1 species